AAGCCUAAGAAAUUCGUGCAUCGGGGCUGGGGAUUUAGCUCAGCGGCAUAAGUGCCUGCCUUGCAAGCAGGCGGUCGUGAGUUCGAUCCCUGGUACCGAUAAAAAGGAAAAAGACAAAAAAAAAAAAAAAUCUAGAAGAAAUUCGUGCAUCAACUUUAACUGAACUGUCCACCAAGCACACUACCUGCAUCAAACGUAUUAUCUCACUCACCGUUCAAAUAAUCCUGUGAACUCUACCCUGCUGUCUAUCACCCGUUUACUGGUGAGAAAAAGGAGGUCAGGGAUUGCGGAAGUUAAGUAAAGCAAGUGCGAAGUGACCACCCGCGCACCGCUGCCCCGCGGGCCCUGGCAACACCUCUCCCGACCACAGCCCUGCGCAGACAGCAAGUUCUGCCACUCCAGGGGCAGGCAGGGUGUAUUCCGGAGACACUGCCCUGACCAGGAGCGGGGACAGAGUCCUACCCUGCGGUCAAAGGACCCGAGCGCCGGCCGGCCUGCAGGGGUCAGCCCGGAAACAGCACGAUAAAACUGCCACCCGCCCUCUCCCACUCGUGUCAAAUCUACUGGUAUUUUCAUGUUUUAUUGCUAUAAAAUAGUACCACUGACUAUGAAGAACAGAUGAAGUAAGUUUAAACAUGCCUGUUUCCUCAUUUACCCUUUCGUUAUGGAGAAAACUUUUAAAACCUUCCCAGUAUUUUGAAAUGUACACUGUAUUAUUGAUAUUGAUAGUCACCAUAUUGUACAAUAGCACACAGACCUGAUUGAAACACUACACAGUGUAAACAUGUAUUGAAAUGUCGUAUGUAUCAGACAAUAAGUAAUUGAUAAAGAAUAGGAAUGCAUUUUCUUGCAGUCUAGGAAACUGAGAAGACCAAAAUCAAGAAGAAGAUGCCAUCAGAACUGGUGUCUUUUGAGGGCCCAGUCUUUGAAGUGCCAUAAAAAUUGAAUGUUUGCUGUACACCUACUCUGAGCUGCCUGUCACUGUCUUUCCAUUACACAUAAUUUAUAGUUUUUGCAGACUGAAGCUCCAAAAGAAUAGACUUACUAUUCUUCUUACUAACCUUCAUAUUCCCAGCACCUGCCAUGGUGCCCUGCACAGAGAAGACAAAUAAUAAUGUCUUUGUUAGGAAUUUCCAGGAUUUUUAAUCUCAUUUAAUAUCAGCGAGUCUAUGCAGUGGCUGUGUAAUCAGUCAAGGAGUGUAACUAUGCAUUUUUAAACUAUGUUCGAUAAUGAAUGUUUAAGAUUCGACAAUGUCCAUAUAAUUUAGGAAUAAAGAUCAGAAAAUAACACUACCUGAAUUUUUUCACUGUUACAGAUGGAAACCAAAGCCUUGUUCAUGCCAGGCAAACAGGACACCAUUGAGCUCUAUACUACCAGCCUUAGUAACUGAAUUUUAUUUAAAAAAGCAGAACUAAAUAAAUUUCAUUCAAAACAAUUUCCACUCCACCCCAGUGAUUAAUAAAUAUAGCUGAUGAUAUUAGUGAGUGUCUUGUUUAUAAGACCUUAUAAAGUUAAUUAUUAUAUAAAUAGAUUAAAAACCAGAUUAAGAGACCAAAGAACAUAUAAAGCAUGUAAGACAGUUGUACAAAAUCAAGGUGCACUUUUAGACACGUUGUCCACACCAGUUUUCUUUCUCUUUUUUCCUAUUAUCUGUCUUCUGUUGCAUAUAUAUAUAUGGAGAGAGACAGUGAUUUUCCAUAUAAGAGAAAUCAUGUUAAGUUUGUGUAUCUGUGUUAAUUCACUUAAAAUUAUGGCCUCAAAGUGCAUCCAUUUUCCUAUAAAUAACUAAAGUUUAUGCUUUUUAUGGCAGUGUAGUCCUCCAUUGUAUAUCAAUAACACAUUUUUAAAAUAUAGUUAUCUGUUGGACAUACAAGCUGUUUCCAAGAUUUAGCUACUAUAAAUUACGCUGCUAUAAACAUGAGUAUGUAUGUAUCACUGUGGUAUAAUGUCACCUCCUUGGGGAAGAUGCAUUGAAGAGGAAUAGCUGGGUCAAAUGGAAUCUCUAUUUCUAGACUUUGAGGAAUUCCGCCCUGAUUUUCAUAGUGGUUGUAUCAGUUUAUGGUCCCAGCAACAAUGGAGAAGUGUUCCCUUCUUCACGUUGGCUCACCAGCAUUUGUUAUUGGUUGAUUCUUCUGCAGUGAGAUACAAUCUCACUGGUUCAAUUUGCAUUUCUCAAAUAGCCGGCAAAGUUGAAUAUUUUUUCAUAUAUUUUUUAUUGUGUUUCUUCAUUUAACAAAUGUCCGUUCACUUCAAAAGCCCAUUUUUAAUUGGUUCUUUAAAUUUGGAGGAGUCUAAUUUUUUUUUAGUUCUUUAUGUUUCAGAUACUAGUCCUUUGAGGAACAGCAGGAAAAUGUGUUCCCCAUCCUGUAGGUAUCUCUAAUGUGUUGCUUUGCUGUGCACCUUCCUGAAAACCUGUCUUGAUUCCAGUGAAAUAUACAACAUCUUGUACUGUUUAUUCAACCCUGAUACGUUUCUCUUUCAAUUUUUUUCAAAAUAUGUUUCCUAUCCAUAUUUCAAGUGCCAUGUUCUUGUAAAACAUUGCUACCUUGAUGUAUUCAAUCACUAUUGCUGCUAUAAUAAAUUUAUUUUCCAGUUCUAAAACUAAGGAAUGAAUUAGGAGUCAAGUAUUCCAUUUUACUGUCCUAUAGGCCAGAAAUCUGAAACAGGAAUUGGACCUAACGUCAGGCUGCCGGCUGGGCUGCAUUUCUGUCUGGAGUGUGCCUUUCUGUUUUGUUCCUCUCCUAGACUGUAUUUCUAGUCUCACUUUAUCUUCCAAGGCCAGUGUAUCCCUCACUGGCAUCUCUCUGACCCUUCUCUAAUCAUCAUUUCUAACCACAGGAAGAAAGUUGCUCUGCUUUUAAAGAUUCCAUCGAUAAUUUGGGGGCCAUCCUAAUACUCCGGGAUAACCUACCAUGUCAAGGUCUCUGCUCUUAAGCACACCUGCAAAAUCUCCUUAGCCAUAGAAAGCAACGUAUUCAAAGUUCGGGCGGUAACAGCUGGACAUCUGUAAAGGACCAUCAGGUGCCUGUCACACCUGGGUUUAAGUAUCACAGAAGUUCAGCGUCACCAGUAUCCUCUGGCCGGUCCUUCAUGUUACUUUCUGAGCUGCUUUUGAUCCCUGUGCACUGGUUAUAGUUUCAAGACUUUCUUCAACAUGGAGGAAUAAUGCAUAUGUGCCUACCAUGGUGCCAUGUCCUAAACUGUGUCACCAUAAGAAAUUUCUGACUAAUCAAAGGAAAACAAAAUAACGCUCAGUGUUUACUCUGUGCCUUUAUUAUUGAUGUGCAGAUUUAUUUAAUCGUCACAAAGCACCAUAAGGUCGAUAUCAUCAUUACCAUUUUUCUGAUGAAUAAACUGAGGCACAGGGUAUACAUGAGGCUUGGGAUGUUAGCAAAAAAAUAAUACUAGAUGGCUUUGGUAUGGUAGUUUGUAGAACAUGUAAACACAGCAGAUACUUCAUAUAUUUUACUAUAGCUUUCCACAAAAGAGUGACUCUCCUCACCUUAGAGUUGAAAGGAUUGUAGAAUGGAACUUACGCAUUUUCUAUUUCUACUUCUUUUCUUUAAAUCUUAAAGAUACUCUUCUGCUGAAGUUGGGGGAGGGGAUAAUAAAUAUGAAAAGGAACGUCCUCCAGCUCUGGUUUUCUUUCUGUUGCUGCCGCUUUGCUCUAGGAUAUCGCUUUAAAUCAUUUUAUGUGGAUGCAUUUUUGUCUUUAGAAUUUAUUAAUAUGCAGUUUAUAAACUUGAAAGUAUUCAAAUGCAGGCCAACCCAGAGUCCAGCAAUAAAGAAAAUUCAGUAGUCAAGGGCAUCCCUCAGAAGCACUGUUGAUCUGCCAGUUUCCAGUUGAGUAACUAAAGAACAAUUGCCAAGUUUCCUUGAACUUGGUUGAUGCAAACUGUGGGUUACAGAAAAAUAAUUUGUUCUGUUCCAGUGGUAUUUGUUACUUACAAGAGUUUCUAAAUUUUAGUUAUCUGCCAAGUUUCAGGCUUGGAAGAUGCUUUGAAAAUGCCCUUCCUAGCAAGGCUUACCUUUAAAUUCUGAUGGACAUUUCAAUGUCUCAGUCCCAUUUUAAAAAUCUUCAUGUGAAUUAAAGUCAGUCUACAGACAUUUUUCCUAUCAAGAUAUUUUAAAAUUCAAUAUUGUGUGGCUGAAACCAUGAAGAAGUAGGCACUCUGACACGUAUCUAGUUGCUAUACAAAAUGGCCCAACUGCUGCUGAGAUCACAUGAUAGUAUGUUUUUAAAAUUAAAAAUUCAUUUACCCUUCCAUCCAGAAAAUCCACUUCUGGGAAUUUAUCCUGCAGACAUCAGUUUAGAGUUACACAAAAUGAUGUCUCCACAGGAAGAGCAGAACAUAAGAAUAAUUACACAGGUGGAAUUUGCAUUGAUAAUCCCUAGAAGGACAAAUUAAAAAGAAAGAAAUGAGAGCUGCAGAAAGGGCAGGAAAGGGCAGGACUAGCAAGACUUUUGUCUUGUGACACUGUUAGGACUUUUGGACAAUGCGUUCACAUUAUGUGACCGUACUACCUAGGCAAAAAGUAAAUGAAAUAGAUAAAUAAUACAUAAAAAAGUGAAGUGACGAAAAGGUAAAAGACCCGGCAUAGUAGUCGAGAAUCUCAGCACUCAAGAGGCUGAGGCAGGAGGACUGCCAUGAGUUCUAGACCAGCCUGGGCUGCAUAGUGAGUUUAGGGCCAACCUGAACGGUGUAGUGUACCUACCUCAAAAAUAAAAUUUUAAAAGAGAGAGAGAUAAAAGAUUGCUCUUCUUAUUCAUCAUAGAUUUUUAUCAGGAUGUAUUUUUUAAUGAUUUUUAUAUGAAAUGAAGGAAAUUACUGAGGCAAGCACAAAGGAGAAAAAAUGUCAGUCUCUGUAGAGAGAACUGGAGCCAGCAGACCAAAAUCUGGAUUCAGAAGAUCACAGUGAGUAAAUGACACGAUCUUCUAGCUGGAAAGAUGGAGGUGGUGUCUUAUCACUUUAUAGAUUGAGGAAACUGAAGUCCAGAGUGUUAAGAGGCUCAGCACAGUCAGUCACCAGUGCACAGAGAACAGGACGAGGAUCUCAAGGCCGUCAUUCACAGUCUCCAUGCUUACUUCUGUAUACCCUGACACCUCUACUGAUAAUGACAUAGUGUCUACUAAGAUCAAAAUAAUUAACGUGUGCCAAGUCUUUCAAGCACUUUGACAUGGGCUGUGUGCUUUGAUUGUCAUAGAGUUGCUGUUGUAAGGUAGUAGAGUGUAAUAGGUAGAACCCUAAGCUCUGGAGACAGACUUCGAAUCCUGAUUGACUUACAUGUUAUGUGACCGUAGAAGAAGACUGAAUCUCUAAGUUUCUUCGUUCGUAAACUGUGGAUGUAACAAUGCUUACCUCAAAGGACCCAUCUGAAGACAAAAGGCGCACAAAGGACUUGACCUGAGAUUUAGCAGUGCUCCCUACUUGUACUUUAUUUUGUUGCUGCUUUUACUUUACAGACGAAAACCUACUUCAAGGACACAGCCGAGUAGCCUGCCCAAAGCCACACAAUUCACAAGUAGCAGUUCAGGACCUCAGUCUAGGUUUCCUCACACACCUUACAUGCCUAUGGAAUCUACAGUUUUAAUGCACUUUAUUUUUCUCUAACUCAUUCUGGUAGUUUUUCUACUUUGGUUUGCAACUCAGCCAUUGCAGUCAUUUUUACAGAAAAGACAAUGCCCUGAUAUGUUGGCUAGAGAAAAAAUCCUGUCUAAAAUGCAGCCACGUGUCCUGUUGCUAUCACCCCACAACUCAGGGGCUAAUCAUAACAAAUGUUCAUCAUUAAUGUGCAUUAGCUUUUCAUUGCUAGGACAAAAAUACCUGACAUGCACAGUCUAAAGGAGAAAGGUUAUUUUGGCUCACAGUUUCGGAGACCUCAGUUCAUGACUGGCUGGUUCCAAGCAAGGAACAAACAGUGUGAAAGGAAAUGGCAGGGAAAAGCUGCGAAGUUCAUGGCAGCUAAGAAGCAGGGAGAAGGGGAGAGGCCAGAAAGCAAGGAACCAGAGUCAAGGUCUAAAGCUUCAAGGUCACAGCCCCGUGUGUUCCCAGACACAUCCAGUAACGUUCUUUCCUCAGCCCCUAGGGCUCUUUCAAUCCACUCAAACUGACAACCACGAGAAACCAUCACAGCGCGGGGGACAUAACUCAGCAGCACAGCACCCGCCUGGCAAUUGUGAGAUCCCCGAGUUUGACUCCUGGUGCCAAAAAAAAAAAAAGAAAAGAUAAGCCAUCACACUGUGUGUACUGACGCAGUGCUCCUGGAUCUCAAAUGGUUGAUGAAAGAAGGUUUUCCUCAUACAAAGAAAUCAGUGCCAACCGGUAGGACAUGUGGACAUAUCAUAUCAUAUUCAACUUAUUAUAUACAAUGAUAUAUAUCUUCAUCCCUUUCUAAUUUUUCUAAUUUUCUAAUUUCUGAUUUUCUGUCCUCCCGUUCUUUUAGCUACAUAUUAGAUCAAGCGAUCUUGCCUUUUUCAAGUGAUCUUGCCUUCAUUUUGCCUUCGUUUGCCAACACCAUUCCUGUCCCUUGUGCUUUUUCUCAAAUGACUAUGAAAAAAAUUAGCUGGUUUCUUCAUUUCUCUGUGCAAAAAUAGUUCCCUGGGCAUUGACAUCUCAAGAUCCCGAAAUCAAGUAGAACUUAGCAUUAACAUAGAGAUGUGUACUAUAAAUCUGUAACCAAGAGUCUAGAACCAGGUAAUGUCUAGAAUCACUUUGAUUUCGGAGUAUAAUGAGCAAAAAUAGCCAGACAGUAGUAUAAUCUAUACUCCCUGCAGUGCAGUUAUGGGGCUCACUAGGAAAGGAACCAAGGAAGCAUCUAAGUUAAGCAGUCAUUCCUGAAGAAUCUCAGGCUCAUAGCAGAUUAUGGCUGGAAGUCUGCCAGAGAAUGUUAUCUAUCAAGUCAAAGAGCAAGGUCCAAAAUCUGAGUGGAUCACAGGAGUGUGCUCCAGAAACCAUCUGAAAGGAUAAUACGUGGGUGAUGUUAAUGCUGCAUCAACUUAAAAGUUAGGAAAAUAAAUCCCAAAUAGAAAGGAGUAAGGGGCUUAGUCCUCAGGCUUUUAUACCAUCUUAAAUUACAAGAUCAUAGUUUUCAAAUUUAAUCUUUUGUUUCUUUCAUGUGGUUUGGCAGGAUCUCCAGGAUAUGUAUCUACAACUGAAGAGCCAGAUUCCCACAGAUGUGGAACAUAAAAAUACAGUGGCAGAAGCUAGACAGUACUAGCUGUAAAGUGCACAGCCAAGGCCCUUGUUUCUCCAGAGCCUCCAUUACAAAUGACAAAUUGCCCAGAGAAGGGACAAGAAAGAGGGUGGGUGGGGAAGUGUGGGUUGUUUAGGAAACCAGUAUUUCAGACAGCUCCUUUUGCCAUCUACUGAAGGAGUGUACAUUUCUCACUUUUAAGAAGUAUCUUCCUGAAUUUCAGUUCCAACUACUAUAAAAUAAAUAGUGCUGGAUUAGUCCUCCUAGUUGCCAGCAUCACACAAUAUGUGUGAGCUAACGUUCCAGGAAUUGAACAAUAAGCAGGUAAGAUUUCAUUCCAGAGAAAACAGAGCUCAUGCGAUGAGCUUCAAUAUCAUCUCAAGAAAAAAAUGAAAAGCACACAUUGAUAUAUUGAUGUGUUUCUUAAAUGUGAAUGAACCUCACAUGCCUGUGAUUAUAGUUCUUUGAUCAUGAUGUAUUAUCCCCUCAUGGUCAGGGUUUACAGGGGAAAAGACUUGUUACAGGACACAAAAUUUAUGGGAUUUUUUUGUAGUAUUCACCCAAAGACUUAAAUGCAAAGAGCAUGGGAGAUCUGUCCACACACUGGAGACCCAAAGAAUUCAGCUGAUGGCCCAGAUCCCACGGCAAUGUCUUGCAUGAGUCCAGCUGAAUAUAUAGAACCCAUGACAAUAUCCUCCGCAAGAGGACCUGGAGGUCCUUAGCCUACACCAAUGUCUCAUGCAAGUCUGUUUCAAGGAUCUGUGCUAGAAAGACCCAAAGGUCAGUGGUGGAAGGUAGAAAGUCAGUGCCAGGGGAAUGAAGGAUCUGUGCCAGCAGGCUGAGGAAUCUGCACUAGAGCCAGGAAGCGAUGUUCAAGGUAAGGACCAGAGCUCCCCCAAAGAGGACCUCAGCCAUCCCCAGCAAAAGGAAGGAUCCAGGCUCCUUGGAUGACAAGAUGGCUGAGUUCGUAUCAGGAAAACCAGCAUGACAAACUUCUCCCUGAGAAUCAGCAGCACUCCAUCUUCUCCUUUUCUGUGCUGUUGGCACCCAUCCUCAGGUGGGCCUUCCACACCUUGCACCAUGCUGAGUGUGACAAGUGACCACUAGUUACUCCACCACAUAGCCUUUUACAAUUUCUGGAUUUUAUUUUCAAAUGCAGGAUUUGAGAGGUGACUUCUGUAUUUAUGCUAAGAAGAUAUGUUACUUUAUAAUUCUUUUUUUUCUUUGUCAGACUUAAAAUUAGACAUGCUGACCUCUAUUUUUGAUAUAGCUAUAUUUCUUUCUUUGAUAGAAUUAAUCAGUGAAAUUAUAUGGGCCUGGAAUUUUCUUUGUAGGAAAGUUUUUCAGAAAUAACAAAUUUAUAUUUAUUUUAUGUUUCAGGAAACUAGUCAAAUUUACCUAAAUUAUCAAACUUAUCAACAUGCCACUGGUUAAACUAUUUGCUUAUUUUUUAAAAUUUUUAUAAAAUCAAUAGUGAUGUUCUAUCUUAUUCCUGAUAUUGGCAAUAUAAGGAAACAGUACCUCUAUCUUGAUUUCUAGUAUCAUUUUCUAAUAAAAAUAACUAAAGAUGAUUGAAGUGGUUAAUUGUAAGACUGAAGAGAAAAAUAUACAAAAUGAGCAUUUCAUAGUGCCUAAAACUGAGGCACUUUACACAUGCAUGCACACAGGAAUACGUCGUCCAAGUGACACAGGAGGCAAUUUAGAGAGCAGCCAAUGACCCAGGACAGAGCAAAUUAGCUGCACAAUAAAGAUUAUAAUCCAAAGUAUAAAAUAAAUAUCCAUCAUAAUGCAAAUAAGUAGUUUAAAAACAGUAAGAAGUAGACAAAUCUCUCCUGCAGAAAAAUUAUAAAUCAUUUUAUGAAGAUAGCCUGCUCUGAAGAGACACAGUUUAGGGCAACCUGCUUGGGAUCCCUUUGGCUCUCUCAGACAGAAGCUUCCUUCUCUCAAUGAAUAGACUCAGGGCUGGGAAUAUAGCUCAGCGGCACAACUGCCUGCUUGGCAAAUGUGAGGUGGUGAGUUUGAUCCCCAGUACUACAAAAAUAAAUAAAUUCUGCUUGUAACUUC